GGUGAACGCUGGCGGUGUGCCUAACACAUGCAAGUCGAACGGCCGCACAGGGAGAUCUCGCCCUUACGGGUGGCGACUGGCGGACGGGUGAGGCAUGCAUCGGAAUCUACUUUUUCUUGGGUGACUACGUAGGGAAACUUACGCUAAUACCGCAUAUGUCCUACGGGUGGAAGCAGUGGAUCUUGACACCUUUCCCGAUUCAUUUAGCCGAUGCCGGAUUAGCUAGUUGGCAUGGUAAAGGCCCACCAAGGCGACGAUCCGUAGCUUGCCUGAGAGGAUGAUCAGCCACACUGGAACUGAGACACGGUCCAGACUCCUACGGGAGGCAGCAGUGGGGAAUAUUGGACAAUGGGCGAAAGCCUGACCCAGCCAUACCGCGUGGGUGAAGAAGGCCUUCGGGUUGUAAAGCCCUUUUGUUGGGAAAGAAAAGCAGCAGGUUAAUCCAUCGCUGUUCUGACGGUACCCAAAGAAUAAGCACCGGCUAACUUCGUG
rnacentral:rRNA from 1 species